rnacentral:lncRNA from 1 species
UGCCUUCUAACAAACAUGCCUAAUCUCAAAAGAGACAUACUCCCUCAUGAUUCUCCAAAUAUCACGAAGAAGAAGAUGAGAGUAUACUGUCUCCACUUACUUUUGGAUCCAUCCUACCACUAUAACAGAAUCGUCCUCAAUGAUCAGAUAAUCAGCCCCCAAAAUCUAUCUCACUUAGGUGAUGCUUGCAUAAACACUCCG